AAUGCAACUAAUACAACUCAUACAUUUACAUAUUAACACGUUUUUACUUGUGCAGACUUUUAAGUCACUUUGGAAGUCCAUAUUUGGUCAACAGUGACAUCACUGAUGAGGUCGCCAUGAGGUGUGUUUCCUCAAGACCUGAAAAUAGAAAACACACUCAUGAACUCAUGUGUGUGUGAGUCUAUUGUUUCAUAUCCAGCUGUGAGAGAAGAAACAAAGAGCUUUUAUGACUUUAAAGCUUCAGACCGCUGCAGCUCUUUAAAUAUCAAUUCCCUGCUGAUCAGUUUCCAGAUCAUCCUUCAGCCUUCAGGUCGACCCGUCGGCUGGUUGGUUUGUGUUGAACUGAAGCUGCAGAGAGCUGAAACAUGAAGCCGCGUGUUGAGUCGUGGUCGUGUGCUGGUGCAGCUGUCUGAUGGAGACACUGAGUGUCUGAGGCUCAGUAUUAUGAGGACUACACGCCGGCUCCAGACUACGACUACGAAAACGCCACCUUCGAAUACAGCUUGUUCAGUAACAGCACUGAGGACCUGGAGAAGCUCCUGAAAGGCAACGAAGAAUUCACCAGCACAGAGUAUCCAAAGGACGUGGAGAGAGAGGAAGUGACUGUUACCACAGCAACCACCCGAGGAGCCACAGAGAGGGUCAAUGUUCAUAGCGCUGCAUCACUUCCAGUUCAUCUGGACUUCAGGACGCUCGUCUGGACUCUGAUGAUCCUGAUCAGCCUGAACGUCCAGCAGCUACAACACACACUAUGAGAGCGCACACACACACACACACACACACUCAGCAGCUGCAGUCGACUGUUCGCAGGAACCUGAAUCACCUGAUCUGAGGUGGGAAGGGUCAGCGUCACCUGUGUGACCUUUGACCUCUGCAGAGGGCGACACCGGUCGCUCCAGCGAGGUAGCAGAUGGACUUCAGCCAAUCACAGAGAGAAUAAAUCUAUAAAAACACCAGGACUCUUCUUAUCAAUAGAAAAACUUAUCGAUCGGUUUUAAAGGAUAUUUUUCGCAAUUUUUUCAUUUUUUUAAAACUUUAUCUGAAUGUGGGUGAGAGCAGGACCAAGAUCUUCUGUAAAUGGUGAGAUGUUUUUAUAUAUGGUGGUAAUGUGCACGUGUAUGGAAGAUUAUUAAUGUCAAAACUGUUGAGUGAGAGCAAAACAAAAUCUGACUUAAAUGAAGCUAAAAGUUGUGCAGAGUGAGACUCAUCACCACAAAACAAGUUCACAGAGAGACAAAACAAAAACGUUCAUUAAAUUCUACAUUUUAAUUUUGGAUGAAUUCUGUGUUUUUCCAUAUAAAUGUCAGAGUUUAAUUUCAGAUUAAUAAUUUCCUUGUAAAUAUGUUUGAACGCAAGAUUCAUGAAGCCUGGAUUUCUGUAUUAAAGAAGGAGAAAAAGAAGUGAAAUCCUGCUACUAUAGUUUGUUUACGUAGCCUCCGGAGCCGGAGGAAGCUU